GUAGUCAUAUGCUUGUCUCAAAGAUUAAGCCAUGCAUGUCUAAGUAUAAGCAAUUAUACCGCGAAACUGCGAAUGGCUCAUUAUAUAAGUUAUCGUUUAUUUGAUAGUACCUUACUACAUGGAUACCUGUGGUAAUUCUAGAGCUAAUACAUGCUAAAAACCCCGACUUCAGGAAGGGGUGUAUUUAUUAGAUUAAAAACCAAUGCCCCUCGGGGCUCUCUGGUGAAUCAUGAUAACUAGUCGAAUCGACAGGCCUUGUGCCGGCGAUGGCUCAUUCAAAUUUCUUCCCUAUCAACUUUCGAUGUUUGGGUAUUGUCCAAACAUGGUGGCAACGGGUAACGGGGAAUUAGGGUUCGAUUCCGGAGAGGGAGCCUGAGAAACGGCUACCACAUCCAAGGAAGGCAGCAG
rnacentral:rRNA from 1 species